rnacentral:rRNA from 1 species
UGCAUAUCAAUAAGCGGAGGAAAAGAAACCAACAGGGAUUGCCUUAGUAGCGGCGAGUGAAGCGGCAAAAGCUCAAAUUUGAAAUCUGGCACUUUCAGUGUCCGAGUUGUAAUUUGAAGAAGGUAUCUUUGGGUCUGGCUCUUGUCUAUGUUUCUUGGAACAGAACGUCACAGAGGGUGAGAAUCCCGUGCGAUGAGAUGACCCAGACCUAUGUAAAGUUCCUUCGAAGAGUCGAGUUGUUUGGGAAUGCAGCUCUAAGUGGGUGGUAAAUUCCAUCUAAAGUUAAAUAUUGGCGAGAGACCGAUAGCGAACAAGUACAGUGAUGGAAAGAUGAAAAGAACUUUGAAAAGAGAGUGAAAAAGUACGUGAAAUUGUUGAAAGGGAAGGGCUUGAGAUCAGACUUG